AUAAAACAAUAAUAUUUCAUCAGCAAAUCCCAAUUAACAAUAAAUAUAAUUAAUCAUUGCCAUUCCCUGAACUGGGAGUCAGGGGCAGACCUUGCUCUGCUGUGGCAGAUCUGCAGAAGUGCAGAACCCAAUUGACUGCGCACACAGCUGAGCUCGCUAUUUAUUGGCAUCGGGAUCGAUAUGUGUGAUGUCAUGAUAUCAACAUGCAAGUACCCGCUAUAGUUUGAGCAAAGCAGUUUACAACAAAGAAUUAAAUCACGUGAAUAAAAGCGGGAUAACAAGGAAAUGAUAUGUAUCAUUCAUAAAACAAAAUAAUCAUUGGAAUUUGUGACUGGAAAACUUAAAAUCAACAAUGCAUUACGAUGUACAUGAGAUAAAACAACUGACCGACAAUGCCGUCGAGGAAAUUCAGGAUGAUUUCUCGCCGAUAUUUAUGACAAUGACUUGGUAAUUGCAAACAAAGAAUUCAUGAAUAAAACAUCUUAAUGAAUAGUGAAUUAUCAUCAUACGAUGUAUUAAACAGAUAUUCACUUCUUGAAAUGGUUUAUUGGACUUUUGUUGCAACAGGGAAUGUGUAUUGGGAUGUGAAAAAUAAAUUUCUAAACAUUAUUAUUACUAUUGUUGCUCAGGUGAGCGAUGUGGAUCAUGGGCCUCUUGUUAGGUCGAUAAGUUUUUAAGCCUGUAUUUUAAAUUGAACGAUGAAAGAAGCCACUUCCAUUGAAUACACUAGUAACGAGACAUGACAAUAUUAUCCUCACCAAGGAAAAAGAAGCUCUGCAAUUCCACAUGUGGCUUUUACUAUGAAUGAAUUUUUAACUUAGCCAUAAAAGUAAACCUGACUUGCAGUUUAUUGCAACACUGCAUGAUUUGUGAUAAGCAUGCAAACAUCAUUUUUGAUAUUGAGAAAGAAUAUACAAUUUUCUACUAGUUCUUACAUCUCUUUAAUAUUAUAUGUUAAAUUUUGGCAGCUUAACCUAUUUUUACUGAACAAAGGUAAUUAAUUGUUAGUCUCUGCAGUCAAAAAUUUUUUUCCU
rnacentral:sRNA from 1 species